GUUUGAAGAAAAAAAUAUUAUGUAGUGAAAUUACUAUCCAUCGAAUAUCGAAUCGAAAGCAGCAGAUUCCGAGAAAAAGGGUGUUUAUAAAAUUCAGAUCCAGGUAGCAAGUACAUGAAACCCACUAAACGAGAAUUUUAACCGUUCCCCGAGUGGUUCUCAAAUAUACGCGUUAAAUUUCCGGAAGUCGUUUCAUUUCGUUGCGAAAGCAACAGUUUUUAAAAUUCUCGUUUACCGGAUCGAUUAGAGAUGUCACGAAUAGAUCGAUCAUAAGAUGCAGCACAGGGAAACGGUCUGCAGCAGUCCUGCCCGCUCUGCCACUUGCCAGAUUCCGACAAAAUGGUCAGCUGUGACGACUGUGAGCGUUGGUAUCACUUCGGCUGCGUCGGAGUGAACGAAGAUGUAGCCAAUCAUGAUUGGAGCUGCCAGGAAUGCAUCAAUGCCAGAGUUCCUGCUCCACAAUCGCCGCAUCCGAGAGCUUCCACAGAUGAGCCAUUACCACACCUUCAGUCAGCAUUACCAGCCCCUCGUCAUCCCACGCCGCCAACGUCGAUCAUGCCAGUGCCUUGACCACGUCUCCACGCUCCACGAACGUCAAAUCUACCACCCACUCCACGUACACGCACUCCAUCAGCUUCGAGUAUGCAACCUGUUGUGCCACCAGUUGCCAGAGACGUAGCGGUCGAUCCCGAUUUGAUGAACAAGCUUCCUGAUGAGCUUCGUAUCCAGUUGUUAAAAGAAGAAGAAGCCAUCGAGCGCAAGUUUCUAUUACGUAGGUACCAGCUUUUGCUAGAAUCAUCAGUGCAUACAGUUCCAACU